AAAGGGAUUUCACCUCGUCCUUGAGAGCAACACGGGGAGCGCGAGCGAGCGGGCGAGCGAGAGACGGGGGGAGAGAGAGGGACACGCGCGCGCACACACACACACACCGGCACACACGCACACACACAGACACACACACACAGAGUGAAAAAGGCGAGCCACCAAAACCCAUCUCCAGUCUCCUCCCGGGGGCCCCCAGCCCGCCUCUGUGCCACUUUGCAUCCCACGCCGGAGGAGGCAUUAACGAGACCGGGCUUUUUAAACGGUCCAAGGUGUAGAGCCAUACUUCAGGAGGAUCCUCAGAAGUUUUGGACAAGCCUCCCCAAAUGUGGCAGGUGCUGUGCUGGCCAUUGGUGACCCAAAGAUGAUGAAAAAUAUGUUCCUGCCCACAAGGAGUUAGCGACCUACUGGGCUUUCCUCUUGCUGAUGACAUGAUUCCUGUUUGAAUCUGUUGACAAGAUUCUGAAAGCUGAACAGAGAAUUCUGGCACUGCACUGGGUAGGAAAAAGCAUUUCAAGAAAUAGAUAAUAUCAAGGACAUCAGGACACCGGGAGUGGGAGAGAUUGGACUGGGAGACUCAGCAGGUCAGGACAUUUACAUUACCAUUUGCUGGUCAUUCUUUUGCCAUCAGUUUUACAAUUCUCAAAUCUCUUGCCACUUGCUUAUUUCUU
rnacentral:lncRNA from 1 species